CCCACCCCACCCCCGCCACGGUCCUCGCCCCAUCCGCCGCUCUCGUGCGUGUGUGUGCGCGCGCACUAGGCGCCAGGCACGCGGAAAGGUCGUCAGCUCUACUUUGUUGCCAACGCAACAUCAGGUUUUGGCUCUGCCGCAGUGACAUCACUGCACAGCACUGCCACCACCACCUUGUUUUUGCUCGGUGGACCUCAAAGGUUGAAGCCCGCGACACUCUUCUGGCCGCAACAUAGUCUGCACCCAGGCUCACCGACCCAGACCACCCAGUGGUGUGCGACCCUGGCCUUUGAUAAAGUUGUUGUGGUGCUGCUUGGGCCAGAGUGCUAAAUCACCAAAGGUGCAACCCCUUGGUGCACAUAAAUGUGCAGCUCAAUGGCAAAUAUGGCCAACAUGGACGAAGGCCUGACAGACCACCAACUCUGAAUCUUCCCUUUGGGUGAUUGUGUGACACUGGGCGAUGGAUUUAUGCUCUGGAUCUCCUUUGUCCUUCUGUAAAAUGGAGUUGCUAUCAUGGCUAUCUUAUAGGACUGUGGUGAGGACACACACGACAGUGCAGUAAGCCCCAGGGGAAACAAUUGUGUUCUUCUUGCAACAAGGGAGCUGAGACCCAGCAUUGACACAAUUUAUCAAGAUAUGGAGAGGCCUGACUGUCAGAACAACCCAAUCUUUAAUCAAACAACGGCUUGUCCCGGCCUCCCUCCUCGGGCGGAAGCCUGCUCUCCUUCCUGUGACAGAAAGCCACUUCUCUUCCCAAUUGUCACUUUUCUCUUCUCAACCCAUUCGCUGGGCAGUGAGCUAUGGGGGUGACCACAUCUCCUAGACUAAUUUGGUCUGGGUAUGGCCAUGUGACAAAGUUGCUGCCAGGGUGACAAGAAGGAAGCUUCUUGGUUACUCCCUCACCAAAAGUGAGUGCCCUUCCUUCUGAUAGAGAUGGUGAGGGCUGGAGCCUGGGAGAGGCAGUAAAAGCUUCAUGCUGAGGACUGAGCACGUGAGCUUUUAGUCUUGAGGUAGUCGGGUGUGGUGGGGCACGCCUGGAAUCCCAGCUACAAGAGAAACUGAGAUCAGCCUAGGCAACAAAGUGACGAAUAGAUUCUAAAUGUUCAUGGUAGGUUGAAGGGGCUGUGGGAUAGCUCAGCAGGUAAAGGCAUUUGCGAACGACAGUCUUGCCAACUCCAGUUUGACACCUUGGACCUGUGUGAUAGAGGGAGCCAACCUCCACAACUUGACCUUUGACCUCCAUAGGGACACCACGUCAGACACGCACACAGGUACGCACGCACGUGCGCGCGCGCAC
rnacentral:sRNA from 1 species